rnacentral:rRNA from 1 species
AUUGAACGCUAGCGGGAUGCUUUAAUCAUGCAAGUCGAACGAGUGGCGGACGGGUGAGUAAUAUAUCGGAACGUGCCCAGUAGCGGGGGAUAACUACUUGAAAGAGUGGCUAAUACCGCAUAAUAUUGGAGCGGCCGCUAUCGGAUUAGCUAGUUGGUGGGGUAAAGGCGCAUCAAGGCAACGACACGUGGCUGGUUUGAGAGGACGAACAGCCGCACUGGGAUUGAGACACUGCCCAUACUCCUACGUAAGGCAGCAGGUGGGAAUUUUGGACAAUGGGGGAAACCCUGAUCCAGCCAUGCCGAGUAUAUGAGAAGGCCUUCGGGUAGUAAAGUACUAUUGGCAGAGAAGCGGUAUCUGCAGAGUAAGCGCCGACUAACUACGUGCCAGCCGCCGCGGUAAUAC